rnacentral:rRNA from 1 species
UACGAAGGGGGCUAGCGUUAUUCGGAAUCACUGGGCUUAAAGGGUGCGUAGGCUGUGCGGAAAGUUGGGUGUGAAAUACCUCAGCUUAACUGAGGAACUGCAUUCAAAACUACCGUGCUAGAGGAAGAUAGAGGUGAGCGGAACUUAGGGUGGAGCGGUGAAAUGCGUUGAUAUCCUAAGGAACACCGGUGGCGAAAGCGGCUCACUGGAUCUUUUCUGACGCUGAGGCACGAAAGCUAGGGUAGCGAACGGG